GUCCACGCCGUAAACGAUGGGCACUAGGUGUGGGAGGUGUCGACUCCUCCCGUGCCGGCGCUAACGCAUUAAGUGCCCCGCCUGGGGAGUACGGCCGCAAGGCUAAAACUCAAAGGAAUUGACGGGGGCCCGCACAAGCAGCGGAGCAUGUGGUUUAAUUCGAUGCAACGCGAAGAACCUUACCUGGGCUUGACAUGUAAGUGACAGCCGUGGAAACACGGUCUUCCUUCGGGACACUUUCACAGGUGGUGCAUGGCUGUCGU
rnacentral:rRNA from 1 species